rnacentral:lncRNA from 1 species
CUGGCGGAAAGCUCCUUGCCUGGAACGCAGAGGGCCUUCGCUGCUGCGGCCCCUGGGGACUCCUUCGCGACGGCUUCCCGGGGAGGGGGCUGAGGCCUGGCAGCGAGGACCCUGACACCCCUUCGGGAGAGGAGUGGCUGCUAGGCCGCUCGCUUGCUCCUGGAAAGAUUUGGGGUUUGAGAGCUCUUGGCCAGGAGGCUCGCGCUGGCCGAGGCCCGAGAGCUGUCCCCGCGGGACGGGACUAGCGAGGGCCGGGGAGAUGGAGCGCAGGCGGCGUCUGGGUUCGAAGCACUUUCCGGCUGAACCACCUGCUGCUGAGGCUGAGCCCUGAGAGGCGGUUCGUGGCCCCCAAACCGGGGAAGGGGCGAAGCUUUGGGCAUCUGUCCCAUGCAAGGGUCCCAACAUCUGAAUCUCACCUCACUCGUCUCCCACCUGUCACGAAUGGCCAGCGCCAAAGUGAUAAAUAUGUAAUAGGAAUGUCUUCCCGAGGCUGUGCUGGAGACUUCCCUGGCCGCACAGUGACCGUUCAGAGCCCACGAUAAGCAAGCCGAAACCCGGUUUGGCGCAGAGGCGCGCAAGGAGAGAGGUCUGUCCUUUGACUCUGUGAGUUGGGCAGCCUAACAUGGUUAUUGUUAAUUGACGGUAAAGUAUCUCGAGGUCCGUUAGUCUAUGUUUUUGUUCUUAUUUAUCACUGUGUAUGUCUUUGGGCUUCUCUUCACUUUGUAUGGCAGAUUAUUUUGAAAAAGUUUACCCUUGUGUUUGUCUCAGCUGUUUUAAAGGGGAUCUGCCGUCUAGGGAGUUCCCCUUGAAAAUCGGACCUUUGAGCAGUGACUUCUGUUUUGCCACCUGGGAGCAACGUGUAAGGAAGUGGACUUAAGCUUCUCUCUCCCCAGGGGAAGAAGCACAGUGGAAAAAUCACAAGUGACUUCUGGCCUGAAAAGCCCUUAAUUUACCUGCUUCUACAAUUACUGCCCUUUCUGACCCAGUUCUUUCCCUGCAGAUAUAGGUGAGGUUCAAAGAAGCAGAUGGUGGAGUUUUGUUAGACAAUCAGUGAAUUUUCUAAUUAGAAAAAGAACUGAGGUCGGGCGCGGUGGGCUCACGCCUGUAAUACCAGCACUUUGGGAGGCCAAGGCGGGCAGAUCACCCGAGGUCGGGAGUUCGAGACCAGCCUAACAUGGCGAAACCCUGUCUCUACUAAAAAUACAAAAAAAUUAGCUGGGCCUGGUGGCGGGCGCCUGUAACCCCAGCCACUUGUGAGGCUGAGGCAGGAGAAUAGCUUGAACCUGGGAAGCGGAGGUUGCAGUGAACCGAGAUCAGGCCAUUGCACUCCAGCCUGGGCAACAGAGCGGGACUCCAUCUCAAAAAAAAAAAAAAAAAGAAAAAGAAAAAGAAAAAAGAACAAGAACUGAGAGUGGCUUAGAAAUAAUCUCUAACUGACAACCACCUGGUCUCUAAAGCCAGAAACUUGGGCCUCUUUCUCUCUAUCUUCCCGCUCAGAUAUCAGUGUCACCAAGCCCUCUCCACUUAUUUCCUGAAUAUCUUCCAGAUGCUUGCCUCCACCUCUUUGGUUCAGGCUCCAUCUUCUCUCACCUAAACUACCAUGAGAGCCACCUUGCUAGUCUCCUAGUCACCUUCCCCCUGGGUCAUUUUUCACACUGCUACUGGAAAGUUUCUUUUUUAAAAUCAGGAUUCUCAGGGGAGGGGGUGCCUGGUCAUCAGCAUUUUUUUUUUUUUAAAAAAAGCAAGCACUGAGGCCGGGCGUAGUGGCUCACUCCUGUAAUCCCAGCACUUUGGGAGGCCGAGGUGGAUUACCUGAGGUCGGGAGUUCAAGACCAGCCUGUCCAACAUGGUGAAACCCCGUCUCUACUAAAAAUACAAAAAAAAUUAGCCGGGCAUGGUGGCUCAUGGCUAUAACCCCAGCCACUUGGGAGGCUGAGGCAGGGUAAUCGCUUGAACCCAGGAGGCGGAGGUUGCAGUGAGCUGAGACUGCACCAUUGCACUCCAGCCUGGGCAACAAGAACCAAACUCUGUCUCAAAAAAAUAAGCACUGAUUUUGAUGUAUACCCAGAUUAUAUGAGCAUACAAGGUAGAGUCAAAAUAGCCUGGCAUAUGAGACUGCUCAGACCUGGAUCCUAAUUACUUCUCAAGGUACAUUCCCCUUCUGGAACCCUAUUCUGUAUUCAAAUAGAAAUACUGAAUAUCAUAUUCUCUCAAGCCGGCAAGCCUCAUAUUGUUCCUCCUGCCUAAACCACCCAAUCUCCUAUUCCCUACUUAUCUUUUUUUUUUUUUUUUUUGAGACAGAGUCUCGCUCUGUUGCCCAGGCCGGAGUGCAGUGGCGUGAUCUCUGCUCACUGCAAGCUCCGCCUCCCAGGUUCACGCCAUUCUCCCGCCUCAGCCUCCCGAGUAGCUGGGACUACAGGUGCCUGCCACCACGCCCGGCUAAUUUUUGUUUUUGUAUUUUCAGUAGAGACGGGGUUUCACAGUGUUAGCCAGGAUGGUCUCGAUCUCCCAACCUCAUGAUCUGCCCGCCUUGGCCUCCCAAAGUGCUGGGAUUACAAGUGUGAGCCACCGUGCCUGGCCUUUUUUUUUUUUUUUUUUUUUUUUUGAGACAGUCUCACUGUCAACCAGGCUGGAGUGUAGUGGUGUGAUCUCAGUUCACUGCAACCUCCACCUCCGAGUUCAAGCGAUUCUCCUGCCCCAGCCUCCCGAGUAGCUGGGACUACAGGUGCGCACCACCAUGCCCGGCUAAUUUUUGUAUUUUUUAGUAGAGAUGGGGUUUCACCAUAUUGGCCAGGCUGGUCUCGAACUCCUGACUUCGUGAUCCGCCCGCCUUGACCUCCCAAAGUGCUGGGAUUACAGGCAUGAGCCACUGCACCUGGCCUUAUCCUUUUUUUUUGAACAGUGCAAAUGUCACCUUCUCUAUAAAGCCUUCCCUUACAUCUCCUCCCAGGUUUGUUUAUAGCAUAUCUCACUGUAGUGUUAUUUUACUUCUUAUGUGUCUGUCUCCCUUGCUAAUUUCAAACUCCUCAGAGGAAGACUGUAAUUUAUUCAUCUCUGUUUCCUCAGGACCUAGCAGUGUUUUUGUAUAUGUUAGGCAGCUUAAUACAUGAUCUUCGCAUGAACUGGUUUACCCCCUGUACAUGAUGAGAGACUAGAGUUGCCACCAAGUUACCUAUCCGGGGGCCAGCCUGUGGGAUCAGAUGGGCAGGAUUGGGUGGGCCCCCUUACCAUGGUGUGCCCUGGAAAACUGCUCAUCUUGCUAGAUUGAGGAUAUAGAGCUGGCUUCCAACAGAACUUUGGAACCAUCCUGCCAGCAAGGUCAGACUGUCAAUAAAUGGGAAUUUAUUGCAUGCCUGUGGCAUAAUCUGUUCUUGAAGUAUUCUGUUUUGGAGGAUGGAAGAUAUGAGAAUUUGGAUUCUUCCCUUGUUCUUUUCUCUGCCCCUCUGUCCCCCACUGAUAUAGUUUGGAUAGUUAUCCCUGCCCAAAUCUCAUGUUGAAAUGUAAUCCCCAAUGCUGUAGGUGGGUCCUGGUGGGAGGUUUUUGGAUCAUGGGGGCGGACCCCUCAUGGUUUGGUGUAGUAUUUACCCUAUGAGUUCUCACAAGAUCUGGUUGUUUAAAAGCGUGUGGCACCUCCACCACAACUCUCUCUCUCUCACUCCCAUUCUCACCACGUGAUGUCCCUGCUUCCCCUUCACCUUCCGUUUUGAUUAUAAGCUUCCUGAGGCCUCCCCAGAAGCUGAGCCAGCACCAUGCUUCCUAUACAGCCUGCAGAACGGUGAGCCAAUUAAACCUCUUUUCUUUUCUUUUCUUUUUUUUUUUUUUUUUUUUUGAGACGGAGUCUUGCUCUGUCGCCAGGCUAGAGUGCAGUGGUGUGAUCUUGGCUCACUGCAACCUCCCCCUCCCAGGUUCAAGUGAUUCUCCUGCCUCAGCCUCCAGAGUAGCUGGGACUACAGCCACACACCACCAUGCCCAGCUAAUUUUUGUAUUUUUAGUAGAGAUGUGGUUUCACCAUGUUGGCCAGGAUGGUCUUGAUCUCUUGACCUUGUGAUCCGCCUGCCUAAUUUGGCCUCCCAGAGUGUUGGGAUUACAGGCGUGAGCCACUGCACCCGGCCUAAACCUCUUUUCUUUACAAACUACCCAGUCUCAUGUUUUUGUUUGUUUUUGUUUUUGAGACAGGGUCUCACUUUGUCACCCAGGCUGGAGUGCAGUGGUGCCAUCUUGGUUCACUGCAGCCUUCACCUCCCAGGCUCAAGUGAUCCUUCUGAGUAGCUGAGACUAUAGGCACAUGCCACCACACCUAGCUAAUAUUGGUAUUUUUCGUAGAAAUGGGUUUUUGCUAUGUUGCCCAAGCUGGUCUUGAACUCCUGGGCUCAGGUAAUCCACCUGCCUUGGCUUCCCAAACUGUCAGGAUUACAGGCAUGAGCCACUGUACACGGCCUCAGGUAUUUCUUUCUUUUUUUUUUUUGAGACAGAGUGUUGCUCUGUCACCAGGCUGGAGUGCAGUGGUGCGAUCUCGGCUCACUGAAACCUCCGACUCCGUGGUUCAAGUGAUUCUCCUGCCUCAGCCUCCCGAGUACCUGGGAUUACAGGCAUGCACCACCACGCCCAGCUAAUUUUUGUGUCUUUAGUAGAGACGGGUUUCACUAUGUUGGCCAGGCUGGUCUCGAUCUCCUGACCUCCUGAUCUGCCCGCUUCAGCCUCCCAAAAUGCUGGGAUUACAGGCAUGAGCCACCACGCCCGGCCUGGUAUUUCUUUAUAGCAAUGCAAGAACGGCCUAAUACCCACCACACAAAAUCUUUUUUGUUUUUUUGGUUUUUUUUUUUUUUUUUUUUUUUUUUUUUUUGAGACAGAGUCUCUGUCGCCCAGGCUGGAGCGCAGUGGCGCGAUCUCGGCUCACUGCAAGCUCCGCCUCCCAGGUUCAUGCCAUUCUCCUGCCUCAGCCUCUCCAAGUGGCUGGGACUACAGGCACCCGCCACCACACCUGGCUAAUUUUUUGUAUUUUUAGUAGAGACAGGGUUUCACCGUGGUCUUGAUCUCCUGACCUCCUGAUCCGCCCUCCUCGGCCUCCCAAAGUGCUGGGAUUACAAGUGUGAGCCACCGCACCCGGCCGGUUUUUUGCUUUUGAGACAGAGUCUCGCUCUGUCACCCAGGCUGGAGUGCAGUGGUGCAAUCUCUGCUCACUGCAAACUCCACCUCCUGGGUUCACACCAUUCUCCUGCCUCAGCCUCCCGAGUAGCUGGGACUACAGGCGCCCGCCACCAUGCCUGGCUAGUUUUGUAUUUUUAGUAGAGACGGGGUUUCACCAUGUUAGCCAGGAUGGUCUCGAUCUCCUGACCUCGUGAUCUGCCCACCUCAGCCUCCCAAAGUGCUGGGAUUACAAGCUUGAGCCACCGUGCCUGGCCUUUUUUUUGUUCGUUUAGACAGAGUCUUGCUCUGUUGCCCAGGCUGGAGUGCAGUGGCAUGAUCUCGGCUCACUGCAAACUCUGCCUCCUGGCUUCAAGAGAUUCUCCUGACUCUGCCUCCCAAGUACCUGGGAUUACAGGCGCCUGCCACCACACCCACCUAAUUUUUGUAUUUUUAGUAGAGAUGGGUUUCACCAUGUUGGUCAGGCUGGUCUUGAACUCCUAACCUCAAGCAGUCCACCAGCCUUGGCCUCCCAAAUUGCUGGGAUUACAGGCGUGAGCCACUGCGCCCGGCUACAAAAUCUUAAAUCUAAAUAACUCCUCUGUGACCACAACCUCCUGUUCUUCUCAUUCUCUCAAUUCCUACCAAACUUGUUUUUCCAUUCCAGUGACACCUGCAACUCCUCCUUCUGCCCCUUUGGCCAGUUUCUAGCUUGUCUUCUGUGUCAGCUGCCUUGCUAUAAAGAAAUACCUGAGACUGGGUAAUUUAUAAGAAAAGAGCUUUAAUUGGCUGUGGUUCUGCAGGCUGUACAGGAAGCAUAAUGCUGGCAUCUGCUUCUGGGGAGGCCUCAGGAAGCUUACAAUCAUGGCAGAAGGUGAAGGGGGAGCAAGUAUCUCACAUGGUGGGAGCAGGAGCAAGAGGGCAAAGGGGGAGGUGCUACACACUUUUUAAAAUGACCACAUCUCAUAACUCACGGCAAGAGGGUGGUGCUACACAUUCAUCAGAAACCCACCUCCAUGAUCCAGUCACCUCCCACCAGGCCCCUCCUCCAACAUUGCAGAUUACAACUGACCAUGAGAUUUGGGUGGGGACACAGAUCCAAACCAUAUAAUCUUCUGUUGCGGGAAGUCAGGGACCCCAAACGGAGGGACCGGCUGAAGCCAUGACAGAAGAACGUGGAUUGUGAAGAUUUCAUGGACAUUUAUUAGUUCCCCAAAUUAAUACUUUUAUAAUUUCUUAUGCCUGUCUUUACUGCAAUCUCUAAACAUAAAUUGUGAAGAUUUCAUGGACACUUAUCACUUCCCCAGUCAAUACCCUUGUGAUUUCCUAUGCCUGUCUUUACUUUAAUCUCUUAAUCCUGUCAUCUCGUAAACCGAGGAGGAUGUACAUCGCCUCAGGACCCUGUGAUAAUUGCGUUAACUGCACAAAUUGUACAGCAUGUGUGUUUAAACAAUAUGAAAUCUGGGCACCUUGAAAAAGAACAGGAUAACAGCAAUGUUUAGGAAACAAGAGAGAUAACCUUAAACUCUGACCUCCGGUGAGCCAGGCGGAACAGAGCCAUAUUUCUCUUCUUUCAAAAGCAAAUGGGAGAAAUAUCGCUGAAUUCUUUUUCUCAGCAAGGAACAUCCCUGGGAAAGAGAAUACGUGCCUGAGGGUGGGUCUCUGAAAUGGCCCCUUUGGGUGUGGCUGUCUUCUAUGGUUGAAACUGUAGGGAUGAAAUAAACCCCAGUCUCCCAUAGCACUCCCAGGCUUAUUAGGAAGAGGAAAUUCCCACCUAAUAAAUUGUGGUCAGACAGGUUGCUCUCAAAACCCUGUCUCCUGAUAAGAUGUUAUCAAUGACAAUGGUGCCCGAAACUUCAUUAGCAAUUUUAAUUUUGCCCCGGUCCUGUGAUCUCGCCCUGCCUCCCUUUGCCUUUGAUAUUCUAUUACCUUGUGAAGUACGUGAUCUUUGUGACCCACACCCUAUUCGUACACUCCCUCCCCUUUUGAAAGUCCCUAAUAAAAACUUGCUGGUUUUGCGGCUUGUGGGGCAUUACAGAAUCUACCGACAUGUGAUGUCUCCCCCGGAUGCCCAGCUUUAAAAUUUCUCUCUUUUGUACUCUGUCCUUUUAUUUCUCAAACCGGCCGACGCUUAGGGAAAAUAGAAAAGAACCUACGUGACUAUCGGGGCAGGUUCCCCGAUAAUCUUCCUUAUCCAUGCAGCUUAGAUUCCGCAUUCCAUUUCAGCCACAUUCUUGCGUAUGUUCUUGAUGCCCCUCUCCCAUUGUUUCAUUGCAGCUGCCAAGCAAAACCCUAAAUCAUCCAUCAACAUUCAAGUACCUAUAACCAAGAUGCUAAAAGAAUCACAACACUAUAUGUGUCUAUGGACAAGUUGUUCUCCAACCUCAGUUGGGCCCUCAAUGCUGCUCAUUUUCUAAACCAGCUCUUUUCUAUUCUCCACACUUCAUCUGUCUUCUCAUCAUUUGACCUCCCUAUAUAGCUUAGUGGGAGAUGCAAGCAACAGAAGCAAUUACAGACACUAUGUUAGGUGCUGUGACAGACAAAGUAUUGGGCCUGUGGGAGCACCCAGGAAGAAGGAAUAUCUAACUGAAGCUUGAGCAGUCAGUUAAGCCUUCUUUAAAACAGCUCCACUGGGCGCGGUGGCUCACGGCUAUAAUCCCAGCACUUUGGGAGGCUGAGGCAGGCAGAUCACCUGAGGUUGGGAGUUCGAGACCAGCCUGACCAACAUGGAGAAACCCCGUCUCUACUAAAAAAUACAAAAUUAGCCAGGCGUGGUGGUGCAUGCCUGUAAUCCCAGCUACUCGGGAGGCUGAGGCGGGAGAAUGGCUUGAACCCGGGAGGUGGAGGUUG